GCUUUAUAGUUUAAAAAAAAACUUUAAUUUUGUAAAUUAAAAAUAAAUUAUAUUUUUAAAGCU
rnacentral:tRNA from 1 species